GGGUACACGAGUGGCGAACGGGUGAGUAACACGUGGGUAAUCUGCCCUGCACUUCGGGAUAAGCCUGGGAAACYGGGUCUAAUACCGGAUAUUCAGUUCCUGCCGCAUGGUGGGGGUUGGAAAGUUUUUCGGUGCAGGAUGAGCCCGCGGCCUAUCAGCUUGKUGGUGGGGUAAUGGCCUACCAAGGSGACSACSGGUAGCCGGSCUGARAGGGUGAUCGGCCACMCUGGGACUGARACACGGCCCARACUCCUACGGGAGGSAGCAGUGGGGAAUAUUGSACAAUGGGCGRAAGCCUGAUGCARCGACSCCSCGUGGGGGAUGACSGUCUUCSGAUUGKAAACCCCUUUCAGUAGGGACSAARCGCAAGUGACGGUACCUGSARAARAAGCACCGGCCAACUACSUGCCAGCAGCCGCGGUAAUACSUARGGUGSGAGCGUUGUCCGGAAUUACUGGGCGUAAAGAGCUCGUARGCGGUUUGKCGCGUCSUCCGUGAAAACUCGGARCUUAACUCCSARCUUGCGGGCGAUACGGGCAGACUUGARUACUACAGGGGAGACUGGAAUUCCUGGUGUAGCGGUGAAAUGCGCAGAUAUCAGGAGGAACACCGGUGGCGAAGGCGGGUCUCUGGGUAGUAACUGACGCUGARGAGCGAAAGCAUGGGUAGCGAACAGGAUUAGAUACCCUGGUAGUCCAUGCCGUAAACGGUGGGCGCUAGGUGUGGGGUCCUUCCACGGAUUCCGUGCCGUAGCUAACGCAUUAAGCGCCCCGCCUGGGG
rnacentral:rRNA from 1 species